ACCUGGGCUUCCAUUUCACGAUCAGAAAGGCCACCGCAAAUCUGGAUGAUACGGUCAGACAGCGUCGACUUACCGUGGUCGAUGUGAGCGAUGAUCGAAAAGUUACGUAUAUUCUUCAUAUUUAGAGUUAAUUAUGCCUUACGAGUAUCAUGAGGCCGCUGUACUGUGCCUGACGUUUUUUUAUCCGAAAAACGCCGCAUUCUACACUACAUCCGCGAAACCAGGAAAUGCUGUUAGAUCCAGCAUACCCGCAGAAAUUGUGGCGUUGUAACAGGAAAGGUAAAUAAAGAUAAGGGCCAGUGAAAUCACUGGCCCAUGUCGGAGGAAGGCGUAUCAACACGCAGCAGAUCCGGCGGCAGUGCGACGUUCAAAAUCACCGGCUGCCAGGACUGACGUGCCGCCAGUCGCGGCGACAGACCGCGCGCCACCAGGAAGCCG
rfam:Klebsiella pneumoniae IS46, WGS project CBWL01000000 data, contig: c267